UACAAUGCGAUGAAGGACUGUCAUUCCCUCUCACGGAUGCAAAGUACAAAUUCUAUUUUUUCCCAAUUGUCUUGCUUAUUGCUCAACCCUCUCUUCUAUUUUUUCCCUCUUCAUCUUUUUCCAAGAUUCCCCUCACUGUUUGCUUUAUCUUCUCUCUUGUUUUUGUGUCCAUUUCUCUUUUUUUUUUUUUUUUUUGCCUUUUUUUUAUUUUUAGUUUUGGAAAAGGAGAUGAAAGAUUUAAGAUUUUGGGUUUAUUGAUAAAUUGCUCUUUUUUUUUCAUUCUAAUGACAUAUCUUUAUGAUUGUGGCCUUGUGGAUAUGGGCUUUUGUAGGUUGCAAUGGAGAAUUCCUACCUCUGAAAGUAUUUUGGGAUUUUUCCUUUAGGCUUUUGCUGUACUGGUUGUCUUUGUGCAGGGGUUUUUUGGUCAAUUUCUGUACAUGGGUACUCAUCUAUGCUGCAAAUUUUGCUCAUGUAUACAGCAGAACUUUGCCUUGACAAGUUCUACUCUGCUUCUCAUAUGCAAGGGGCCGACAUGGCAUAUGAGGUCAUGUAUCUCUUACCUUUGUUUAAGCCAAUGUUUGCUAGAAAAGAUGGGUGCAAGGAGGAAGGUGAGACAAAGCGAAGAAAAGAAAGAAAAAGAAGAAGAAGGAAAAAAAAAAAAGGAAAGUAGAGUUCUAUGCGUCAAAAAAAUUAAUUUUAUUUGUUGAAUAAAAUAAAAAAUAAUUAAAUGUAUAAUUGAUAAAUUAUAUAUAAAUUUUCAAAUAAAGAGCAUAUGAAUUAAUUAGAAAUGAUAAUCGGUUAUAUAAAUGUGUG
rnacentral:lncRNA from 1 species